UGUGGUAAUGAUGGCAAAAAGGAUACACCUGUAACCAUGCCGAACACAGAAGUUAAGCUUUUUAGCGCCGAGGGUAGUGAGGGGUUUCUCCUUGUGAGAGUAGGACGUUGCCACGC
rnacentral:rRNA from 1 species